UACGAAGGGUGCAAGCGUUACUCGGAAUUACUGGGCGUAAAGCGUGCGUAGGUGGUUCGUUAAGUCCGAUGUGAAAGCCCUGGGCUCAACCUGGGAAUGGCAUGGGAUACUGCCGGGCUAGAGUCCGGAAGAGGCGAGUGGAAUUCCUGGUGUAGCGGUGAAAUGCGCAGAUAUCAGGAGGAACACCCGUGGCGAAGGCGGUUCUCUGGGACGGUACUGACGCUGAGACGCGAAAGCGUGGGGAGCGAACAGG
rnacentral:rRNA from 1 species